GAAUUAGAAGCUUAUAUAGCAUUGGUCUUGUAAAUCAAAGAAAGGUAUUACCCUAGUUCU
rnacentral:tRNA from 1 species